GGGAGUUUGGCCGAGUGGUUAAGGCGUUGUGUUUAGGUCUUCUGUUCUAUCUUAUGGGACGCCUGAAGCCCGCAAUGGGAAACCGCGCAGGUUCGAAUCCUGCAGCUCUCA
rnacentral:tRNA from 1 species